rnacentral:rRNA from 1 species
CCUACGGGUGGCAGCAGUGAGGAAUAUUGGUCAAUGGGCGUAAGCCUGAACCAGCCAAGUCGCGUGAGGGAAGACGGUUCUAUGGAUCGUAAACCUCUUUUGUAAGGGAACAAAGUGCGGGACGUGUGCCGCAUUGUAUGUACCCUAUGAAUAAGGAUCGGCUAACUCCGUGCCAGCAGCCGCGGUAAUACGGAGGAUCCGAGCGUUAUCCGGAUUUAUUGGGUUUAAAGGGUGCGUAGGCGGGCUUUCAAGUCAGCGGGGAAAGUUUGUGGCUCAACCCAAGAAUUGCCGUUGAAACUGGGAGGCUUGAGUGUGUGAGAGGCAGGCGGAAUGCGUGGUGUAGCGGUGAAAUGCAUAGAUAUCACGCAGAACCCCGAUUGCGAAGGCAGCCUGCCGGGCCGUAACUGACGCUGAUGCACGAAAGCGUGGGGAUCAAACAGGAUUAGAUACCCGUGUAGUC